CGCAGACCAUCACCCAGGGGCAUCUCCCUGCUCUGCUCUCCCGGGGACAGUCACCAUCCCGCUGCACUGGGCCACCGCACUCCCUCCAGGCAGCCUUCCUUCCCAGCCACCACGCCCAGCACAAAGCCCCUUUAUUCCCGGCACCCCACCCCCCUCUGUCCUCUGCCUCGCCCAGGGCUGCUGCUUCCGCAGGAGGGGACAGUGGCACCCGGAUCCUCGCCCGCCUGCUGCCAGCUGCGGGCUCUCAGUGUCUCUCUGAUCCCUGUCGGCAUGGCAGCACGCUCGCUGCAGCACCAGGCGGCCGCCAUCUGCCACCGAGGCUGGCUCUUUGUUCCGGGUGUGUGUGUGCGCGCGGAGCUGCUCUGUCCCUACACAGCCCGGCCCUCCAGGGCCACCAGCCAGCUGAGCUGUCCCUGUGGAGACCCUUGUGGGGAGGGAGAGAAUUCCUCUGCAAAGCUCCUGGGAGGCUGCUGGUGUUCAAAGCAGAGCCCUGCUCAGCUCUGGCUCGUGGUGGUGCCGGGGAUUAAAUGUGGGACUCUGGAGCCUCAGACGUGAAACUCUGUUUGCAGAACCUGUGUUGCUUCCCUGUCCUGACACACAGUCUUUACUAGAACACCAUUCUCCUAUCCCUCAGGAGGCCAGCUGCCCGGAGCUGCUUGUCACGCCUCCCCCUGAGCUCUGCUUUCAGGACCCAGAGAGUUCCUGUCUUUCUGCUCCACCUUGUAUGUGGCCUUAGCCCC